rnacentral:rRNA from 1 species
AAUACUUAGUGGCAGACGGGUGAGUAACAUGUAGGUAUCUGCCCUUUGGCCUGGAAUAACACGAGGAAACUUGUGCUAAUACCGGAUAAGUCUUUACAGAGAAAGCUUUAUGCACCAUUGGAUGAGCCUGCACUUGAUUAGUUUGUUGGUGGGGUAAUGGCCUACCAAGACUGUGAUCAAUAGCUGAUUUGAGAGGAUGAUCAGCCACAUUGGGACUGAGACACGGCCCAAACUCCUACGGGAGGCAGCAGUGGGGAAUCUUGCACAAUGGAGGAAACUCUGAUGCAGCGAUGCCGCGUGAGUGAAGAAGGCCCUUGGGUUGUAAAGCUCUUUCGUCGGGGAAGAAAAUGACUGUACCCGAAUAAGAAGGUCCGGCUAACUUCGUGCCAGCAGCCGCGGUAAUACGAAGGGACCUAGCGUAGUUCGGAAUUACUGGGCUUAAAGAGUUCGUAGGUUGUUGAAAAAGUUGGUGGUGAAAUCCCAGAGCUUAACUCUGGAACUGCCAUCAAAACUUUUCAGCUAGAGUAUGAUAGAGGAAAGCAGAAUUUCUAGUGUAGAGGUGAAAUUCGUAGAUAUUAGAAAGAAUACCAAUUGCGAAGGCAGCUUUCUGGAUCAUUACUGACACUGAGGAACGAAAGCAUGGGUAGCGA